GCGCUCUUAGUGUAGGGGUUAACAUGCAAACUUCGGGUUAACCCGCGGCCUCCUGUUUGAGAUGGAGGGUUCGAGUCCCUCAGAGCGCC